CUUUGUUUAUCUUUCUUACUAAAGCUUGUCUGAUCAAGCUAUUGUUUACCCUAAUUCUAACCUAAUUUUUCCCUGCAUUCAAUUCUUCUAAUCAGCAUUCGUAGUUACACCUUUUUCAUUUUCAAGGUUAAUAGUAACUCUCAUUUUCCAAUGUCUUCUCUGCCAUUUCCCACAUUCAUCUUAAACUCUCUCUCUCUCUCAUUGUCUCUCACGUAGCUCUUCCUGCAUUGGGAUUCUCUGAAAUGGCAUCUCCUUCAUUUUUCGUUUCUUUCUCUUUGUUGCCCUAUCUCUCCAAUCAGGAAGAAGAUAACCAAAUUCAUUGUCGCAGGCAAUCUCAAAGCCAUCGAUGUUGUCUCUAGCUCCGACUUUGAAGCUUCCGUCGGAAAAAACAUUGUGGUUUCUCACCGGAAGGGUAAGAACGUGUAGCUUCAGCUCGAUUCUCCUUCAUUUGUUGCCAAUUCGAGAGUUGCUGCAACGUAGCAGAUUGCUUAAGAAGGAGGUUCAAUUAGAUUUUUGUAAAGAGAGUUGCUGCAAUGUAGCAGAUUGUGGAGAGUGGAUUUUGGUACUUUUGUAGCUUACUUUCACAAACCAAGGUUUCUAUUGUAAUUUCUUGAAAUCAUGAAGGUAAGUGUGAUAACAAUAAAGUAUUGAUUCUCUUUAAUUUCAAGACUCCUAUUUCUUACUCUCCUGUAGACAAAUGUCUGUUCUUAAUGUCUGUUCUAUUGCUACUGAUAUUAAUGGGACAUAAACACAACACAAAUCUCACAUACACAUAUGCAGCGAGAGAGAGAGAGAGAGAGAAUUGUUGUCAACACUGUACUUGAUUCUCACAAAUUGAUUUUUAGCAUAAUACAAGAAUGCAUUAUUUGUAGGCCUCCAUACUUAACAUAUAAGAAAACUAAUUCUUAUGAACUAAGAGAUCAUAAACGUUGUUGUUAAGAGAUAAGGUGGAGUGAUGCCUCUUAUCUUCAUGUGGUCCAGUCAUAACAUUUAACGGUAACCAAGUAUCAUCUACUAUACUUGCUUCUCAAUUCUUCUACUUGCUACUUUAUUUAUCUACUUCCAACAUCUAUUGUUCCUGUUGCAUACAUAAUUGAAGUUUCUUUGUUUAUUAAUUGGUUCGAUGUAUGGGUAUCAGUUACGCAUCAUUCCCUUUGAUGAAAGCUAUUUUGCAUUCUUAGUGUUUGAUAGGUCACUUUUAUUCUUAUUCUCUUUCACUUAUUUUGUCUUUUUAUUUUGCUUCUAAUUCAGUUUUACUGAUUUGCUUAGCUUAACUAAUCAUUGCUUUUGACAUUAAAAUUUUAAAUAGAAUGAUCUUUGAUGUGAAGAGACAAGCAUAUUUAAUUUAAUGAAAAAGACCAUAUUAGCAUACUUAAUUCCCUCCCAUAAUCUUUCUGGUUUGAUGAGCAUGUGGUUCUUUGAAGUUUUAUUGAAGUUUGUCGAGAUUAAAUUGGAUCAAACAUGAGGCCUUUAUAUAAAAUUAUAUUUCUCUGCAACGACAAAUGUUUGCUGAAUUCACACUGUGACAACUUGAUGAAUUUUGUACUGUCAUCAAGAAUGUUUUUAUAUGUCGCUAUAUGUGAAUGAUUUGAGGCACCUUGCGUUAUCUUGCAGCAUGUUGGGUAUUGAUGUAGCUGAGGAGGAUGUGCGCUUGAGGUAUUCGAGUGUGUUUUUGAUUGCAACGCCAGGACGAUGUCUAUGUUAAUGUAUUUCCCAAAGGCUAUUUAAUCUUGAAGGCAUUUGGUGAUUAACUUUCUGCAUAAUUUUUGCAGUAUAGUCUAUUCUUUAAUUGCUUAAUGUUUGCUCUAUAAAAUGGUUAUUGCUACACUCAUCUUAUGCUCAUGUAGGAGCGGCUGGUUUUGUUUUUGUUUUGAUUUUAUUAGCCAAUGGUUUGGGAUCUUGAUAUGCACAAAAAAUUCUAACUGAAAAAGGCACCUUAAUGCAAUGAAGGUGUAGAGGACUGAAUGAAAUUAUUCAGUUGUCUUCCAUAAACUAUUAACAUAUGCACACCUGAUGAUACUAUAAAAGCAUUUUCGACCCCUGGUCAAAGCUUAUUAGAUGCAGGGGAUAGUGCAACAUAUCAACAAAAUUCAAAAAAAGGAGAAUUUAAUAGUUGAAUAUCAUAUAUUUUUGCUACUGAGUAUAUAUUGAUUACUUAUAAUUGAUGUGAAUUUAAUAGUUAUUUAUAUAUGAUUCUUAUUGGCUCUACGGGAAAAUAUGUUUAAUCCAUCUAUGCUCUUAUGUGUUCUGAAUUGAUUACUUUUUUUUUUUUUAAGGGAACUUAUAAUUUCGCUAAAGUGAGUACUUAUGUAUAUAUGAUCUGUUAUUGUAUACACGUGAACAUAUGGACAUCAGUAUAGCAUUAUGUGAUCAAGAUAUAAAUUCUUGACUUUGUAUUAAUUGUGUUGUGCAGAUUUUAUUUUGACAGAGGAUCAGUUGAAAAUAUACGCACUAGCAGAUAUCGAAUUGCUCCCGCUGAGUGCUGGCAAGAGUUUGGCCGAAAUUCCUCCAAUGCCAAGAGAAGAUCCAUCACUAAUACCUGAUCUAGAAAACCGUUUAAUUCAUGAUGAGAUGAACUAUAACAGGGGAGUGUUAGAUGAAGAGCAUUCAUGUUUAAUGUCAACGAUGACAGAUGAGCAACAACAAGUGUAUGACAAGAUAAUGAGUAGGGUCAAUGCAAAUACUCCAGACCUGUUCAUUGUGACAAGUUUGUAUUUUCACAUGGACAAUUAUAUGUUCCUGUCUCAAGAAUUACAUCCAGAGAAGGACUGAAAAUAUUGAUAAAUAAUGAACAUGGUGAAGAUAUUGAUGCGACUUCUAACGUUGUGUACAAAGAAGUAUUUCGAAAUGUGUAAUACUCCCUAAUAUAUACUAUGUUCUCUUUAAAAACUGUAUAUAUUUGUUGUAACAUGUUUUGUUUGUGAUACGAUAUUUCCCGUAACUUUGCUGACUCCGAUAAAUUUUGUUUAUGUA